GGAUGAACGCUGGCGUCGUGCCUAAUACAUGCAAGUCGAGCGAACAGCUAAGGAGCUUGCUCCUUUGACGUUAGCGGCGGACGGGUGAGUAACACGUGGGUAACCUACCUAUAAGACUGGGAUAACUUCGGGAAACCGGAGCUAAUACCGGAUAAUAUUUCGAACCGCAUGGUUCGAUAGUGAAAGAUGGUUUUGCUAUCACUUAUAGAUGGACCCGCGCCGUAUUAGCUAGUUGGUAAGGUAACGGCUUACCAAGGCGACGAUACGUAGCCGACCUGAGAGGGUGAUCGGCCACACUGGAACUGAGACACGGUCCAGACUCCUACGGGAGGCAGCAGUAGGGAAUCUUCCGCAAUGGGCGAAAGCCUGACGGAGCAACGCCGCGUGAGUGAUGAAGGUCUUCGGAUCGUAAAACUCUGUUAUUAGGGAAGAACAUACGUGUAAGUAACUGUGCACGUCUUGACGGUACCUAAUCAGAAAGCCACGGCUAACUACGUG
rnacentral:rRNA from 1 species